GCCAGGUGUGGUGGUGCACACCUGUAAUCCCAGCAGCUUGGGAGGCUGAGGCAGGAGAAUUGCUAGUUCAAAGCCAGCCUCAGCAAAAGCGAGGCGCUAAGCAACUCAGUGAGACCCUGUCUCUA
rnacentral:sRNA from 1 species